GGCAACGUGGCGGAGUGGUUAUCGCGUAGCACUCGAAUCAGAGACGAUAUCGAUAUGCUAUUCCUUCGGGAGCGCAUGUUCGAAUCAUGCCGUUGUCG
rfam:Paraphaeosphaeria sporulosa strain AP3s5-JAC2a unplaced genomic scaffold CC84scaffold_14, whole genome shotgun sequence.